rnacentral:tRNA from 1 species
GGAGAGGUGUCCGAGUGGUUUAAGGAGCUAGUCUUGAAAACUAGUGAUCCUGCGAGGGACCAAGGGUUCGAAUCCCUUCCUCUCCGCCA